rnacentral:rRNA from 1 species
AGUGAACGCUGGCGGUAGGCCUAACACAUGCAAGUCGAACGGCAGCACAGUAAGAGCUUGCUCUUACGGGUGGCGAGUGGCGGACGGGUGAGGAAUACAUCGGAAUCUACUUUUUCGUGGGGGAUAACGUAGGGAAACUUACGCUAAUACCGCAUACGACCUACGGGUGAAAGCAGGGGAUCUUCGGACCUUGCGCGAUUGAAUGAGCCGAUGUCGGAUUAGCUAGUUGGCGGGGUAAAGGCCCACCAAGGCGACGAUCCGUAGCUGGUCUGAGAGGAUGAUCAGCCACACUGGAACUGAGCCACGGUCCAGACUCCUACGGGAGGCAGCAGUGGGGAAUAUUGGACAAGGGGCGCAAGCCUGAUCCAGCCAUACCGCGUGGGUGAAGAAGGCCUUCGGGUUGUAAAGCCCUCUUGUUGGGAAAGAAAAGCAGCAGGUUAAUACCCCGCUGUUCUGACGGUACCCAAAGAAUAAGCACCGGCUAACUUCGUG